GCAGCUGAGCACAGACAUUGCUUUGGCCCAGAGCCGCUCGCAGUGGCGCCUGGAGGACCUCGGAGGCCUAGAGCGGCUUUGACCAGCGAGAGGAGCGGCCCAGAGCGUCGCCUGCCAGCCGGAAGUGACGGCACGGAGGCAAGAUGGCGGCGCGGAGCGAGCUGCUGCGGCUGGAGGUGCUGCUGCCGCUGCCUGCUGGCCUGGCACAGGUGGCACUGAGGGCGCUGGGCCCAGGCCUGCAGCCCCCAGCCCGGCCCGGGGGGAGGCCUCAGCAGCGCCCCCAGGCCAGGCUGCAGUGCUGCGGGGACAAGCUGAGGGCCUGAGUGGGCACUGGGGGGCGCUGGGCGGGGAGGGGCUGGGGGAUUAGUGGGGGCAUACAAGGAGGUGAGUGGGGGUCUCCGGGAGGCCAGUGGGUGGGUCUGCGGGUCCCUGGGUGGUCCCUAGGAGGGUCUGGGGGUCCCUGGGUGGGUCUGAGGGUCCCUGAGAGGUUCCUAGGAGGGUCUGGGGGUCCCUGGGAGGUCCCGGAGAGGGUCUGGGGGUCCCUGGGAGCGUCUGGGGGUCCCUGAGCCCUCCCCCCGCAGGCUCUGGGUCUCCUGGGGGGCUGGAGGCCUGCGGGGGGAGGUCUCCUCCUUCCUGGAGCUGCUGGGGCUGUGCUGGAGACCAUCGAGCGCUUCGGAGGGGCGGGGCAAGGGCAGGCCCCGCCCACGGCAGAGGACGCACCAAUCAGCUGCUGACCCUCCCCAUCCUAACCAGUUCCCCCCCCCCAAUAAAGCACCAAACUCUGCCA